CCACAUGACUCUCGGCAACGGAUAUCUCGGCUCUCGCAUCGAUGAAGAACGUAGCGAAAUGCGAUACCUGGUGUGAAUUGCAGAAUCCCGCGAACCAUCGAGUCUUUGAACGCAAGUUGCGCCCGAGGCCACCCGGCUGAGGGCACGCCUGCCUGGGUGUCACGC
rnacentral:rRNA from 1 species